rnacentral:lncRNA from 1 species
CUCUGUUGCCUAUGCCCGAGCCUGCUCCAUCACGAACCGUGGGGACGGAUUGUGCUCGCCAAACACUCGGGCGUUCCUGGCCAUCCAUAGCUGGUAAGCGAUGCAGGACACCCUAAUAGCCGCCCGACACAUCUGAGGGGAGCUAGACCAACGCCGAACCUCCUCCAGAAAGCAAUCCCUUCGACUCCACACACCCUUCGGGAUCCCGGACAGCCUCCAGGUCCACCUCGCCCAGACACACUGGAAUAGUGCAUGAUUCACUAUCUCGUCUACCUCACAGUACAGGCACACAGAAGAGAUGCUAACACCAUGUCGGCUCAACGCCGAGCUCAUCGGCAGGCGGUCCCAAGCUACCUUUUAGAGAAAUAGUGCAAUCCUCUGGUGUAGCCCAAACCUCCAUACCCAGCCACAAUCCCUACCCAGCUCUGACUCCUGCUGGAUAACCCGAGAAACAUUACCAACCCUGACCCUGGCCUUGCAAGUGGUGCUCCAUACCCUGACAUCUGGACCUGCUGAUCCCGAAAUGGGGAGAGCUCGAAUCCGCUCUACUAAGUGCUCCCCGAACAACUGGCCCAGUCUGUUGGUGUCCCAUUCUGCCUCCCCCGGCCUGAGGUCGCACACCCGGAGCCCCGCCGUCCCCUGACCGCUAAUCAUCGUCGGCCACAACCUC